CGAUUGUUGAGUAGUCACUGAGAAGAAGCUUCCAGAGACCCCCGGUAAGAAAUAAAAUGCGCCAUUUCCACGUAUCUGUUCAGAGGAUUGGAGCAGUGAUUGCGAUUGGAAUAGCAAGAUGAUUGAGGUAGUAUUGAACGAUAGACUGGGGAAAAAGGUACGUGUGAAAUGCAACGAAGACGACACCGUCGGCGACCUGAAGAAGCUAGUGGCUGCUCAGACAGGGACUCGCCCCGAUAAAAUAAGAAUCCAAAAGUGGUACACCAUUUACAAAGAUCAUAUCACUCUCAAAGACUAUGAGAUCCACGACGGCAUGGGCCUCGAGCUCUAUUACAAUUGAAAUCUUCAAUCAGUAUGAAUUGUUUAUUAUAUCAAACUGCAUGAUGGUGAGGUGUAUGCUCCGAUUAUUGGAGACGAAUGCCUUGUUUCUCAAGUGCAAGGGAAGCAAAGCAUGCUAUUGAAUGUUGGCGAAUUGUGGACAAGGCGUUUGGAUUUGACCUCUAUUCGAGUCUUGAAAAUAUCUUUUAAAUUGAAUAUGAAUUUUCAACUAAGCCCUAUAGCAUAUGGUGACACUAUUUCUCUGACAUUAUUUAAGCAGUUUCUGAACUUGUGUAGCCGAUUAAAGAUUAAUCUUCUAUUCAUUAUGUAAUUUUCCUAUGCACCAAAAAUAAUUUAAAUUUAAAGCAAGUAAGUUUUUUAAUAAAUAAAGUUGCCUCUUAAGAACAA